GUGUUCGAAAAAAUCUACUUUUUCGUGGGGGAUAACGUAGGGAAACUUACGCUAAUACCGCAUACGACCUACGGGUGAAAGCAGGGGAUCUUCGGACCUUGCGCGAUUGAAUGAGCCGAUGUCGGAUUAGCUAGUUGGCGGGGUAAAGGCCCACCAAGGCGACGAUCCGUAGCUGGUCUGAGAGGAUGAUCAGCCAAAAUGGAACUGAGACACGGUCCAGACUCCUACGGGAGGCAGCAGUGGGGAAUAUUGGACAAUGGGCGCAAGCCUGAUCCAGCCAUACCUCGUUUUUGAAGUAGGCCGUCGGCUUCUAAAG
rnacentral:rRNA from 1 species